CAGGUAUGCCAUCGAUUAUUGUGCCUAUAAUAAACUGUUAGCUCUUCAUUAUUAAUCAUACUUCUUUUUGUGUUGUGGAAGGACUCUUCUUGCUUUUGGUGUCCAUAUUGGACUCUCUGAUGAACCUGCAGAGGACAAUGUGUAAUGUGUCCACCUUUCAAAUAAACAUUGAACUAUGGGAUUGAUAAAGACCUGCCCCUGUGGAUCAGUCCUGUGCUAACAGCUGCUCAGGAAGAGCUGGCGGACAAAUUGAACACAACCUUUGGGCCGGAGAGUAUAUCAGCAGGACUGGAGCUGUGGACCACAGCAGGGAUGUAAUGUAUAAGAGAAGUACCCAAUUGGUGCCAUUUUGCCUAUUGGAUGAGAAGACCAAACUGGCUAGCAGAGAUGCCAUGAGGGAGGCACUUGGUAUCCUUCUUGGGUUUGGAUAUACUGUGGAACCCCUAGCUGAUAAAAUGGGGCAAAGUUCAUGAGAGGUUUAAAAAUAACUGCACGUUCAAUCUGGUGUUGAAGGCUAUGGCAGAGCAGUUGGCUGAGGAUUAUCAUCACAUCUGGACAGCCAGGAAACUGCAGGAACUGGAGAGUAAAGGAGGGGGCAGUCACCCUCUGCUUGUUCCAUAUGAUGCUCUGAGUGUUAAAGACAAGGGUCGAGUCAGAGCCGAAUGUUUUCAAGUUCUUCCACAUCAGUGGGUACUCAGUGAGGAGGAACAGAAAGGUGGCAGAUGCUGAUUCCCCAGCGACUGCAAGCCACCUCGCUUACGGUCUGCUCCAGCAAGCCCUCUGUCUCACUGAGCAAGCCCAGGAGCAGUUACCAGAGCUGGAGGUUGCUCGGGCUCGAGGGCAGAUUUUCAAGGCUGAGAAUGUUCCCCAUGAGUGUCAAACUAAUUUCUUUAUUAAGGUCAGUUAUCUUUACUGCAGGUCAAACAUUUGGAACAGAACUGAUAUCAAUGUGUAUUCAUUACACCAUAGCAGCCAAAUGAGUCAGAAUGACAGACAUAUUUAUACAACUGCCUGAUUUGAACCCCAAAUAAUUAUCCAAGUUAAAUAGAUUUUUGGAUUAUUUUAGACACUACAGAUGUUUAGUUUGUAUAUUGGAAUUAUUUAUUGUAUCUUGAGUGAUAACCAAGCUAACAUCUCAGCUUGUUCAAAGCUUUGUGAUAAACAUUUGCACAUUUUUUUGUAAUUGAACCACAGUUGUCAUGGUAAAUUUGUGUAGUUGCAGAUAAUUAGGGCUUUUGUGCUGUUCAUAGAGACAUCUCUGUGGGUCAUGUCUCUGCUGAUCCCAUUAUUGAUUAGACCUCAUGUUUUUGUUUUUGCUAUCCAUCCCUGUUCUGAGACAAUAUGCUGCAUGCCGUUUAGUCUGUAUGCAAGCCUCCUUUUUCUUUCUGUCCCAGGUUGUAUUUCCACUAUUAGAUCAAUACUUCAAAAAUCACAAUCUCUACUUCCUCUCCACUGCAGUGUGUUCACUUAUUGAUGGCUGCCAGUCCACCAAUAAAGAAAAAGAGAUGGUCACAA